AAGCCAACACUAAGGAUGCGAAGGCGAGCUGGGCCCGGUGCUGCAACUGCCAAAGAAUUCCUGCAACGCCAGGGCUUCUGAGCUCCGGACUUCACAGUCAGCUGCGUCAGUGAGUCCCCCUUCUGCUUAGGCCAGUGCAUGCUGGGAUUUCUGUCACCUGCAAUCGGCUGGGCCGUAAGAGAUGCAGGUCAGGACACCCCCGAUGGCAGUGAGUUGUGUGGCUGGAAUCCCUCCCAGAGACCCCGCCCCUUCUCCAGGCGGGGCAGCCCAGAGCACACCAGGACACUGCUCUCCCUUGCACCUUCCCUGAUGUGCCAGCUGAGGGGGAACCUGUUAUCAUCCCGUUCUGCACGUGAGGAAGGCGAGGUGCUGAGGGGCUAAACUCGCUGAGCCCAGCAGAUGGCCAGGGCAGAUGCGGGACUGGCAGGGGCUUUCUGGCUCUAGAAUCUUCCCCGUUGCCGCCCCCCAGCUGCUCAUCACCCUGGGGUGAAGAAAUCCCUAGGAGAACUCCGUAGACUCCGUUCUUCUACACAUGGGAGCUCUGGGGCUGGGUAAAGGCCCUGUCCUGGGUCACGAGAGCCAAGCGAGGGCGUGAAACCAGAGCUGCCCUGAGAUGGCAGGGACACGGAGCAAGUGGAGGACUUUGGUGCCGGCCACAGGAGGCAGGAGUGGCUAUCUCUCCUGUGACCUCAAAGCAUCCUCUGGGGGCAGAAGGGCCGUGGCACUGCUGGCAGCCUGAGGUCAACUUACUUGAAGGCACUGGGGUCUCCAUGGAUCUUGUAGUUGUCGGCGCUGAUCUGUGAGAUGACUCUGGUCACAGCGAUGAGGAUGCCAAUGUUGACCUGCACAAGAAACCAUGGAGGAAGGUGAGGGGGGCCUGGGCUGCACCUGCAGGAGAGCUGCGUCCGCCUGGCCACUGCCCUCACCACAGGCUACCCCUGCCCAGCCAGGGCUCCUGGGACACAGGGGCAUCACUGGGACAAAUCUCACCCUGUUCCGUGGGCUUUUACCAACACACACAACAUGCAAGCUUGCCUCUGAGAGCACCUGCACUGAGAAGACAGCAGAGACGAGUUCUAGUCCCAGGAACACAUCCGGGCAUGAGGGCAUGAGCCUGGGCCAGACCUCAUCUUAGCAUUUGCUUCGUUAGUGUGACCCUGGGCAACUCACCCAGGUCCUCGGAGCCUCAGUGCCCCAGGUGAUGAGAAGGAUAGUGCCCACUGUGCAAACGACUGCUCAAUGUGCCAGGCCCCGGCACAGGAGCUGGCUCUCAUCUCCCGCCCCGGCCCAGGCCUGCGGCUGUGCGAGCCACAGAAGCUGCGGCAGAGGGGCAUCAUCUCCUGCCAGCACCCCUCCUGCCUAGCCCCUUAGGACACUAUUGUGGCAGUGAGCACCCCAACUGUUCCCUCCUCGGCUCCUGUCUUCACUGACCACCUCAACACCUGGAAGCUCAGCUCACGCCCAGCUCAGCUGACAGUCGGAUGCACCUUAGUUGCCCUUAUUUUCCCAUCUGUAAAGUGAGGCUAAUAACAGAAGUGUCCAAAGGCCAGGGAAGGGAAAAGAAGUCAACACAUUAGCCACCCAGCAUGGUGUCUGCACAAAGAGCAUGUCCAGAAACGCUGAUGCCCCCCAGCCAACCUCACUGUGUAACGACGAGAAGAAAGCCACACUCAACUAGGAGCAGCAAGCGGGAGCAGCGUGGAUGACAGGUCAGUGGUUUUCAAAUGCAGUGAUGAUUCAACUAGGACAGUGACAAACGCGUGACUAAUGUGCAGUUAUUACUUCGAGUGGGGAUUUCAAUUGCAGAUGGCUGAUGGUCACUGAUGUGUGAGUGCGGCCCAUGCCCUCGGGGCAGGCUGGCCUUGGCCAUCUGCCUGGGAAGCACUUUCGUGCCUCCAGUGGUGGCUACAGCAUCACACAGAGAGGGAGGUGGAGAUGGAAGGUGCCCCAAGUCAAACUGCCACAGACCCUGCCUGCUCUUACUGAGAUUCAGAAGUUUUUCUUGAAUAAAUGCUUUUAGUGUGCAUGCCUUUGUUUCUAG
rnacentral:lncRNA from 1 species